GGGUAGAUGAGAAAUUAAUGAAAGAGGGAGAGAUCUGUGUCACGGCACUGAGAAACUCCACCGCGAGCCAUUCCCAGCAGUGUGUAACGCGAUCUCUCCUGCCUGCCAACACCUGUGCCAUGGGAAGGUCGAGAGCAGAGCUUGGUUCCAGGUCCAAUAGCAGCGAGCAGCGUAUCCUGGCACUUUCUGAAGUGAAGUCAGAUUUUGGCAGCAUCCCUUCAGCUCUGAUGAAAGUUACAACGGGGAGGGAAUGUAAAUAUGCUGAAGGACAGAUUAUACAGUCACAGCUUUUGGGGUCGGCAUGUCAGAAGUCCUGAAGACAGAGUCGUUAUCCUCCCCUUUGUUCUUCCUGGCUAACUAUUCUUUACGUGGUCAGAGUGACCUACCGUACCGUCAGUCAUGUCAGCUCCUAAGUGGUUUAAGAUAAGUGUCCCUUGAUCACAACGGAAAGUGUGUGGAGAUUUUCCAAGAAAUAAGUGUUUUGAAAAAAUGCCUAUGGCUGGACUGUGCUGAAAUUCUAUGCUCAAAUGUAAAUAUAAUUGGAGCAUAAAGCAAUAAAUUUUUUCAAGCACCAACAUAAAAUAACUGCUAAGAAGGAGUAAAAAAAUCAGACUGAACUUUAAUGACCUUUGUGUAUGUAUAUUUGAUAAUAUAGCAUCUCUAGCCAAGGUUUAAAAAUGGUUCAGUCUUGCAUCAGAGGGUAGACUGGACCAUAUUUCUAAACUGUGCUCAGUAUUAGACAUACUCAUUUAUCUUCUGGAUUUCACAGAAAUAAAGAGUAUGUACUUGCCAGAGCACAUGUUUCAGAGUAAAUAGUGAUGAAAAAAAAGUCACGGUUUCUUUGCCAAAGUGCAGUAUUUUCUAUUAAUGUGUUAAUGAGUGCCAUCAUGGUGGAAAUGUCCAAACUGGGAGAACAUCCUGUGUCAGGGAGAGCAGUGGUAGGGCUGCUUAGAGAAGCUCAGAAUGUUCAACAACAACCUGGAGAGGAGGCACUGGGCUGGUAGCAGCCCUUAUGCUGCUCCUUGAAUGGGCCCCCUUUCCCUCUGCCCAAUGCUACACCAGUGGUUGGGAACAGCCCACAUGAUCACAAUCUGCAAUAACUGAGGUAAAGCAGAGAUCACUGGGACAGCCUCCCUUGGAAAAACAACUAGAAGUAUAACCGCAU
rnacentral:lncRNA from 1 species